UGAUAGCAAUCUGUAAUUGCAGCCACUGCUCAUGCUCGAGUCAUAAUUUGAAAAGAAACCAAAGUCACUUGGCAGCUGACUAUGUGGCUAAGAGAGGUGUCUGAGUGGAGUUUACUGAGGAGGAGGCAAAGCUGUUGUCUAAAAAACACGCUAAUGAGAAAUCCUGUAAUUUAAUCUGCUUCCUUCAGGAAGCACUCUUUGGAAUGAAAUGGGACGUCAGCUGCAAAGGUACUUAAUAAGAUACAGAGGUUCCAGCUGUUACUUCAGUUCUUACCCUUUGCCCACUCUCUUCCACCCGCUCCCCAACAGAGGAGAAUGUUGUCUGAUUUUUAUAGGGAAGCUGUGUUCAUUCUGGAAAUUUUAAGUAAAAAAAGAGCUCGCAUUUAUUGAAAGUCUCAUCUAUGACCUCAUUUAAUUGUGACCUUCCCCAAAUCUGUGAGAGAUUAGCACUUGGUUCUCAGGCGAGAACACUGAGACUCAGAGAGAUGGUGUUCCUGGCCCCACAUUCCUUACCCACAGAGGGGCCAAGCUGAGAUUCACCCCUGGACCCAGAGCCACACUCAUGCCUCAGCCCACAUCCUGCAGGGAACUCCCAGGAGGUCCACCUCUGUUGAAGGCUCCCUUGCCCUUGCCUGCAGAGAUCCAGCUGACCCUGGGACCACAACAGCACACGGCAGGCAGGGGCCAACAUCUCCACCUCUCAUCUCAUCCCAAAGGUUCUGAGUCCCCAGUCCAAGACCCUCUGAUGGGACUUCCCUGCCUGACGCCCUUCAACCUCCCUCGGGCCCCUGGUCAUCCUCUCUGCCCCAGCCACUGUGGUCAUGGAGAAAAAGGAGAAAAAGUACCCACCACGAAGCCUCUCCCCAAAUCUAACCCAUCUAAGCAAAUCCUUUGCCAGGACCAUUGCAGCCAGCAGGAUUCCUCUCUAGGGCCAAUCCCAGCGAUGGCUCCUAAAGGCAGGAAACUUGGGUGUGUCGUCACCAGCACAUUAGCAGACUGUUCUGGGGAGAGAGUCUGUGGCUCUCCGUGGCCUCUCAGCAGGGCCUCCGAGAUCCAUGCCAGAUAACAACCAAUGCCUUAGCGGAUUUUCUUCCCCCUGCUCCUUUGUGGGAAUGCUUCCUG
rnacentral:lncRNA from 1 species